rnacentral:rRNA from 1 species
UUAAGCAUAUCAAUAAGCGGAGGAAAAGAAACCAACAGGGAUUGCCCCAGUAACGGCGAGUGAAGCGGCAACAGCUCAAAUUUGAAAUCUGGCCCCCAGGGCCCGAGUUGUAAUUUGCAGAGGAUGCUUUUGGCGCGGCGCCUUCCGAGUUCCCUGGAACGGGACGCCAUAGAGGGUGAGAGCCCCGUCUGGUCGGACGCCAAGCCAGUGUAAAGCUCCUUCGACGAGUCGAGUAGUUUGGGAAUGCUGCUCUAAAUGGGAGGUAUAUGUCUUCUAAAGCUAAAUAUAGGCCAGAGACCGAUAGCGCACAAGUAGAGUGAUCGAAAGAUGAAAAGCACUUUGAAAAGAGGGUUAAACAGUACGUGAAAUUGUUGAAAGGGAAGCACUUGUGACCAGACUUGGGCCCGGUGAAUCAUCCAGCGUUCUCGCUGGUGCACUUCGCCGGGCUCAGGCCAGCAUCAGUUCGCCGCGGGGGACAAAGGCUUCGGGAACGUGGCUCCCUCGGGAGUGUUAUAGCCCGUUGCACAAUACCCUGCGGUGGACUGAGGUUCGCGCUCCGCAAGGAUGCUGGCGUAAUGGUCACCAGUGACCCGUCUUGAAACACGGACCAAGGAGUCGUCUUCGUAUGCGAGUGUUCGGGUGUCAAACCCCUACGCGUAAUGAAAGUGAACGCAGGUGAGAGCUUCGGCGCAUCAUCGACCGAUCCUGAUGUUCUCGGAUGGAUUUGAGUAAGAGCAUACGGGGCCGGACCCGAAAGAAGGUGAACUAUGCCUGUAUAGGGUGAAGCCAGAGGAAACUCUGGUGGAGGCUCGCAGCGGUUCUGACGUGCAAAUCGAUCGUCAAAUAUGGGCAUGGGGGCGAAAGACUAAUCGA